rnacentral:rRNA from 1 species
GAUGAACGCUGGCGGCGUGCCUAAUACAUGCAAGUCGAGCGAACAGAUGAGGAGCUUGCUCCUCUGACGUUAGCGGCGGACGGGUGAGUAACACGUGGAUAACCUACCUAUAAGACUGGGAUAACUUCGGGAAACCGGAGCUAAUACCGGAUAAUAUAUUGAACCGCAUGGUUCAAUAGUGAAAGACGGUUUUGCUGUCACUUAUAGAUGGAUCCGCGCCGCAUUAGCUAGUUGGUAAGGUAACGGCUUACCAAGGCGACGAUGCGUAGCCGACCUGAGAGGGUGAUCGGCCACACUGGAACUGAGACACGGUCCAGACUCCUACGGGAGGCAACAGUAGGGAAUCUUCCGCAAUGGGCGAAAGCCUGACGGAGCAACGCCGCGUGAGUGAUGAAGGUCUUCGGAUCGUAAAACUCUGUUAUUAGGGAAGAACAAAUGUGUAAGUAACUAUGCACGUCUUGACGGUACCUAAUCAGAAAGCCACGGCUAACUACGUG